CCUCAAAAAAAAUCCGAAUGCGAUUUUUUUUGUGGAAACCAUCUAGCGGUUGGUGAAGUAAGUAAACAUUGCAGAAGUUAAGAAUUGUGCGGAAUUUGCUGUCAAAACUCAAAAAUGGAAUGACGAAUGGCGUCUGCUUCUAUGAUUCAGUUAAAAGUGGUUGCCUGUGCCUGUGCUCUGCCCCGGCUCCAAGCUAACGUGCCCCUGCCUAAACUUCACUUCCGCGGCUCUACGUUGAAUGUGACUGUGUUGAAUGUUACGUGAUGAAGACAACAAAUAUUGCUUUGACUGUGAUGCCAAAGGACCAAGAUGGGCUUCAUGGAAUCUUGGAAUUUUCUUAUGUAUCCGUUGUGCAGGAUUUCAUCGGAACUUGGGGGUGCACAUAUCUAGAGUUAAAUCAGUCAAUUUAGACUCGUGGACCCCAGAACAAGUAGUUGUAAGUAUUAACAUUUUUUAAAUUUUGUAUCAUUAGUGUAAGCAUUAAAUUGUAUCUCAAUUUGACACUAUAGUAACACAAGUUUGA